GACGAACGCUGGCGGCGUGCCUAAUACAUGCAAGUAGAACGCACAGUUUAUACCGUAGCUUGCUACACCAUAGACUGUGAGUUGCGAACGGGUGAGUAACGCGUAGGUAACCUGCCUGGUAGCGGGGGAUAACUAUUGGAAACGAUAGCUAAUACCGCAUAAUAUUAAUUAUUGCAUGAUAAUUAAUUGAAAGGUGCAAUUGCACCACUACCAGAUGGACCUGCGUUGUAUUAGCUAGUAGGUGAGGUAACGGCUCACCUAGGCGACGAUACAUAGCCGACCGGAGAGGGUGAUCGGCCACACUGGGACUGAGACACGGCCCAGACGCCUACGGGAGGCAGCAGUAGGGAAUCUUCGGCAAUGGACGAAAGUCUGACUGAGCAACGCCGCGUGAGUGAAGAAGGUUGUCGGAUCGUAAAGCUCUGUUGUAAGAGAAGAACGGGUGUGAGAGUGGAAAGUUCACACUGUGACGGUAUCUUACCAGAAAGGGACGGCUAACUACGUG
rnacentral:rRNA from 1 species